GCAGCUGUAGCUCAGUGGUACAGUGUCUGUUUUGGCAUGCAGAGGGUCCUGGGUUCAAUCCCCAGCAGCUCCU
rnacentral:tRNA from 1 species